ensembl:lncRNA
GCCUGACCAGGAAGAGUAAGCUAGCCAUCUAGCAGAGAAGACGCCAACUCUUCCUGUGGGCUCUGAUCUCUUCCCUGGACUAGCAAGGAAGCGUGGCCAUGGGCGACUACUUUCUGAAUCCUCGACACAGACAUACUAAUAAAUAAACAAACACGCACCAGUUGGGUCUGGUUUGUUUUCCAAACGGGGAGCAGCAAGUGACCUGGUUAAUCCAAGGUUUCAGACAGCAGGGGUUGAGAAAUCAGCUUAGUGAGGCCCACAGCACAGGUGGCGUUCUCCCAUUCUGAAGUGACACAGAGGACAAGAGCCCUGCCCAAGGCCACAGACACAGGGGACAGAACCCUCCAUUUCCAAUUCCAGUUCAAAGCCUGGAAAGCUGUCUUCUCCCGGGAGCCAAGGAAAACGAUGACAAUUCUGCCCGGAUGUAAAGACCCUCAAAGACAUCUGAGACCGAAUUCCCCAUCUGGCUCACCUGGAAAGGGGCAAAGAGGCCACUGCUCAGCACCCAAGGGGAUAAGUGCAGAGUUCUAUCCCGCUGGCGUGAACAAGGCUGUACCAAGAUGUCUUGGCUGUGAGCGUGGAGCACACCAAGGGAGGACCAGCGAUACCACAGAAAAGCCAGCAGGUGACGGCAGGCACUAAAAGGAGCUCGAUGAAUAACAAAGAGGGUGCCGGCAGCCAAAGCCUUUUUAAGAUGCUAAUUAAGCAAGAAAAUACACCUGUGUGUACUCCAGUGCCUCUCUUAACUCCUUCUGGCUGGCUUAGAAA